UGAGAAACUGAUAAUCUAGAGUGCGGGAGAGGCAGAUGGAAUUGGUGGUGUAGGGGUAAAAUCCGUAGAGAUCACCAGGAAUACCCAUUGCGAAGGCGAUCUGCUGGAACUCAACUGACGCUAAUGCGUGAAAGCGUGGGGAGCAAACAGGAUUAGAUACCCUGGUAGUCCACGCCCUAAACGAUGUAUACUAGUUGUUGCUGUGCUAGUCACGGCAGUAAUGCACCUAACGGAUUAAGUAUACCGCCUGGGGAGUACGGUCGCAAGAUUAAAACUCAAAGGAAUAGACGGGGACCCGCACAAGCGGUGGAGCAGUGGUUUA
rnacentral:rRNA from 1 species